UGGUUCUGGCAUCGAUGAAGAACGCAGCAAAAUGCGAUAAGUAAUGUGAAUUGCAGAAUUCAGUGAAUCAUCGAAUCUUUGAACGCACAUUGCGCCCGCCAGUAUUCUGGCGGGCAUGCCUGUUCGAGCGUCAUUUCAACCCUCAAGCUCAGCUUGGUGUUGGAGAUCGGAUCGCAAGAUCCGCCUCCCAAAUCUAUUGGCGGUCACGCUGUAGCUUCCAUUGCGUAGUAACAUACCUCGCCUUGGAGAGCAGCGCGGCCACGCCGUUAAACCCCAACUUCUGAAUGUUGACCUCGGAUCAGGUAGGAAUACCCGCUGA
rnacentral:misc_RNA from 1 species